rnacentral:lncRNA from 1 species
GAAUGUUUUACGCUGGCCAUCGCAUUCCCGAGCUGCCACAUUCCCUGUUCUGCUCCGCUCUGCUUCUGACCCAUCUGUUGGCGCUUCUUUGCCUGGAGCUGCAACCUGGGGUUGCCUGUCACCCACAUUCUGCCUUCACUGCCUCGCCCUGUGCCAAUGACUUCAGGGCGCCUGGCUGGUCACGCAGUCCAGGCCCGCCCUGCCACACUUUCCCACACAGCGUCCACCUAGAUCCCUGCAGCCACCGUCCUGGGCCUACCGCCAGGCAGUGCGCCCUCCAGUACCCGUGGCCCGUCCGCUCUGAUGCCCUCCUCCUGCAGAUGCCAGACGUGUCCCACUCUGUAGGUGCUGCUGACCCUUCUGUCUGUUCAAACGUCUCCCACAUGCUGUUGCUCCCAGCACAGGUCUCACUAAGUCACCAAGUGGCCCAGGCUCAGACUUGCAGCCCUCCUGCUUCAGCCUCC